rnacentral:rRNA from 1 species
UACGUAGGGUGCGAGCGUUGUCCGGAAUUAUUGGGCGUAAAGAGCUCGUAGGCGGCUUGUCGCGUCGGCUGUGAAAACUCGGGGCUCAACCCCGAGCCUGCAGUCGAUACGGGCAGGCUGGAGUCCGGCAGGGGAGACUGGAAUUCCUGGUGUAGCGGUGAAAUGCGCAGAUAUCAGGAGGAACACCGGUGGCGAAGGCGGGUCUCUGGACAGUUCCUGACACUGAGGCACGAAGGCCAGGGGAGCAAACGGG